AAAAUUUUUUUUGUUUAUUGUUUCUGUGUAACAAUUGACCCUGUUAUAAAUUUUAAAACUUCUUUUGUUUAUUGUUUCUCUGUAACAAUUGACCCUGUCAUAAAUUUCAAAAUUCCUUUGUUCAUUGUUUCUUAUUAACAAUUGACCCUGUCAUAGAUUUCAAAAUUGUUUUGUUUAUUUGUUCUAUAACAAUUGACCAUGUCAUAAAUUUCAAAUUUUCUUUUGUUUAUUGUUUCUCCGUAACAAAUGAUCCUGUCAUAAAUUUCAAAAUUCUUUUGUUUAUUAUUUUUUUUAACAAUUGAAAAAUUUCUCUCAACAUAUUUUCGAAAGUCGUUUGUGCUCAGGGGGGAUCGCCGCUCAGGUACAUUGAUAAAGAAAUUUUAUUAUUAUUUUAUACAUAUAUUGUAAUUUUUACUUGAUUAUUUAUAAUUAAAGUUAGAUUAUAUAUUUAUACAUAUUCUAAGUUAAAUUAUAAAUAAUUAAAUAAUAAAAAUUAUAUUAUGUACAUUUCACUCCAGUUACAGUUUGUUCUCUCUCUUUCUCUCUCUCUCUCUCUCUCUCUCUCUCUCUCUCUCUCUCUCUCUCUCUCUCUCUGCUGCAAGAUGGACGUGUCAAAGAUCGCUCCGCGAAUGCAGUACAUUUAAAGUGAUAAAAAAGUGAAAGAAAAUUAUAAAAGGAUGUCGUAGCUGUGAGAAUACACUUACGUGCAUGAGUGGGCGCUCGUAUCAAUAGGAUCGGCGUCAGCCGAUGCCUACUAAUAUGGACGAUGAAUAUGCAGAAUAUAGAUGUGCCGCAUGUAAGAAGGCAAUAAAAAGUCAGGUCGUGACAUGUAAGUCAUGUGUUAAACUUUUUUUCAUCCAGGAUGUGCAAUUAAACAUAAGGUGUACGAUAGAAAUCAAGAAUAUGUGUUAUGUCCUGGCCCAUAUGAGAAGUUUACAGUUGACAGUGAAAAAGAUAUGGAUGUAAAAAAAAACACCAAUAUAGACGGGAAGCGAAAGAGAAAGACUGAGUUUUACAGAAUCGACAGGAAGUAGAGCGAUAGGUGUCAACGUGGGCAUGAAUACGAAAAUUGAUUGGCUAGUAAAAACCAUGAGAAAGAUGAAAGAUGAAAUGGCAUGCAAACGAGAAAUAAAAGUGCUGAUUAAGGAGACAGUGCAGGAAAUAAAAGCUAUUAAACAAGAAAUGGAAGACUUACGAAAAGUAAUACGAGGAGGAAUGCAGGCGUCAGCGGAAAAUGUGCGCGGCAGUUACAGUGAGGCUACGAAGAAAAAGAAGGAAAACAUCAUAAUCAUUAAACCGAAGAUUCAGCAAAAAAGUGAGUCCACUAAAAAAAUAAUUUAAAAAAAAGGUUGAUAAUAAGAAUAUGUCAAUGGAGAUAACAAAGGUACGAAAAGGAAAAAAGGAACAGUAAUUUUAGGCUGUGAGACCGGAGAAGAAAUAGAUAAAUUAAAAGAGGUAAUACAGUCUAAGCUAAGUGACAAUUAUAAUGUUACAGAAUUACUACAAAAAAAGCCGAAAAUAAAAAUUGUUAAUAUUAGCGAGGAAGAAAUAGAGUUGGAUGAUGUUGAACUAAUAGAUACAAUCAAGAAACAGAAUAGUAUUGUUGCGCUUCCCGAAGCACUCAUACUUCCACUAACACACUCUCUUCCGCUCGCGAGCGCAGCGGAAUAAAAACACGCUUUUGGCGAACAAGAACCUUUAUUAACAGCUGCGAACAACUCCGAGCACGUCCGCACGAGUUAUCUCAGGAAGUUCUAAACAAAACCAUUUGUUUAUACAUAAGCAACGCCGGGGCCGUUAGAUUCAGCUGACUGAGGCAAUCGAUAUAUUGAUUUUUCGCGUUAAGCUUGCGCUCACAACGCGCGCAAAGCUCACGCUCGCGAAGCUCGCGUUCGCAACAGUAUUGAAGAAUUUCGUAUAAGCAUAGUUAAGAAAAUCCCGAAAAGAAAAAAUAUGAAUAAUAGUCAGCCUAGAAGAAAAGAGAAAGAAGGUAGAUCUAUAAUAAUCGAAGUAGAUGAAAUAACACAUGAAUUGAUGUUUAAAAAAAAAGUUGAAUAUAGGCUGGAGAAAAUGUCCUGUGUUCAAUCAGCAUAACGAGAUGUUUCAAGUGCUGGGGAUUCUACCACAUUGCAAAAAAUUGUACAAGAGAUGAAACGUGUCAUAAUUGUGCAAGAAAGCAUAAAGCAAGUAAAUGUAGAGAGAAGCAUGACAAAUGUGUAAAUUGUAUGUUUAAAAUAAAAACAUAUAAUUUAAAAAUAAAAGACGAUCAUGAUGCUCUAGAUCCGGAAUGUCCUUCUUACAUGUCCGACAUAUAAGAGGGCUAUCGAAGAGGAGAAGAGGAGAGGUGGAUGGGAAGCCAAAAAAUAGCAA